AAACAUGACUUUGGUCUCCGUCCUCAUCUGGACUCUCCUCUGCUGCUGCUUCACAGAGUCCAGAGGCCAGAUCACAGUGACUCAGCCUGGAGCAGUGAGCUCUGCUCUGGGAGCCUCCGUCUCCAUCAGCUGUAGGGUCAGUCAGCAGGUGGAAGUGGGAUCAUCAAGUGGUAAAGAUCUGUUACAUUGGUACCAACAGAGAGGAGAAGAAGCUCCUAAACUGCUCAUUUAUAGGGUUAAUGAGCGAGAAUCAGGGAUUCCAGAUCGUUUUACAGGCAGUGGAUCAAAGACUGACUUCACUCUGACCAUCAGUGGAGUUCAGGCUGAAGAUGCAGCAGUUUACUACUGUCAGAGUGAACACAAUAUCAACAGUCAGUGGUUGUUCACACAGUGA